GCAGGCGCGAAACCUUUACACUGCACGACAGUGCGAUAGGGGGAUCCCAAGUGCACAGGCAUAGCGCCUGUGCUUCUCGGUACCCUAAGGCGGUACCAGAAUAAGGGCUGGGCAAGACCGGUGCCAGCCGCCGCGGUAAUACCGGCAGCCCAAGUGAUGGCCGAUCUUAUUGGGCCUAAAGCGUCCGUAGCUGGCCGUACAAGUCCAUCGGGAAAUCCACCUGCUCAACAGGUGGGCGCCCGGUAGAAACUGUGCGGCUUGGGACCGGAAGGCGCGACGGGUACGUCCGGGGUAGGAGUGAAAUCCCGUAAUCCUGGACGGACCGCCGAUGGCGAAAGCACGUCGCGAGAACGGAUCCGACAGUGAGGGACGAAAGCCAGGGUCUCGAACCGGAUUAGAUACCCGGGUAGUCCUGGCCGUAAACAAUGUCUGCUAGGUGUGGCUCCCACUACGAGUGGGUGCUGUGCCGUAGGGAAGCCGCUAAGCAGACCGCCUGGGAAGUACGUCCGCAAGGAUGAAACUUAAAGGAAUUGGCGGGGGAGCACUACAACCGGAGGAGCCUGCGGUUUAAUUGGAUUCAACGCCGG
rnacentral:rRNA from 1 species